ACUGUUUAUCCAUUCAUAAUAAGCCGGAAAAUCGGUCUCGUGAAACCCUACCCAUUUUCCCCGUUUCUCUCAGCCGUGCGCCUCUCGCCUGAAACCCUAGGCAAUCUCCUCGUCGCUUCUGUUCACCGGCGAGGUGGAGGACUGAUCCGGCGUCCAUUGUUGCGCUGUCGUCGAACUCCCCGCCGGCGAGCGCUUUCCUGCGAGGGCGCCGCCGUCGGUGAGAUCCUCGGCGGUGCUUCUGCACUUGCAAGGAGGUACGGCGUCGGCCUGAGGGUUGCGAACUGUGAACUACCGACGGCAAGACCACGGAUUGAUUGUGGUGAGAUGUGCUGUCUGGAUUACGAGCAGGAAAUUCGGCAUUCUUCAGUUUCAUGUUCUUCUACGAAUCAACACCACUGAGAUGAUUUGCAGUACUGAAAAACAAACCGGAUCUGAAGAUGAAGCAACUGAGCGGUGUCCCGAUAGGGUGCCCGUAAGGGCGCCUUAUGUCUGCUUGUAGAAAUGCAUCGCGCACUUAGAGGAAUAAUGCCCAGUUUCAGUUUGAAAAAGGUACAACGCUCAGGAAAUGUAAAAAAUCAAUCGCCAUAUUACUUAUGUAUGUCUUUGAAUGUAAAAAAUGUUAAUCGAGUGUUUCAAGGAUUCAAGUGGGAGGUCAUAUAUUA